UACAGAGGUCCCAAGCGUUGUUCGGAUUCAUUGGGCGUAAAGGGUGCGUAGGUGGUCGGGUAAGUCUGAUGUGAAAUCUCCAAGCUUAACUUGGAAAUGGCAUUGGAUACUAUUCGGCUAGAGGGUUUAAGGGGGGACUGGAAUACUUGGUGUAGCAGUGAAAUGCGUAGAUAUCAAGUGGAACACCAGUGGCGAAGGCGGGUCUCUGGGACGGUACUGACGCUGAGACGCGAAAGCGUGGGGAGCGAACAGG
rnacentral:rRNA from 1 species